UUGUUCUUUCCUGGAUCUGUGAGAGGUGUCAUCCUCUGCCAGGAGGCAGGUGAUGUUUUUGACAUCUCCUUCUCCAGGAAAUAGAUGAAGUGGGAACUGUGAGGUGUAUCCAGAAAGAGUAAGAUGAAGGGUCCCUGAGCCUUGCAGUCAUCAAGGACCCAAAGCUUGUCCCACUUCUCCGGACACUCCAAGCAGAGGGAGAGAUUCCCAGGCGAGCAGCCAGGCAUCUCUCUUGCUCAAACCCAUCUCACACUCCAACUUCUAUCACUGCAUCUCUCCACCAAUUGGCCCCAUGGGUGUAGUCAUGGCAGAAGAGCCAAGCACUUACCCACCACCUCUGCACUAAGGGAAAGACGUGCCUUUGCCUGUGCCAACCUAACCAGAACUCCCCCAGAAGGACGCUAUGAAGCCAACAACCAGCAGGCUGUUGUUGGAGGCUAGAUCACUGUCGUUCACUGUAUUGGAAGCCGACAAUGAAGCACGGGGUAGAACGCAGCUGCUCACCUUCUGCAUGAGCCAGGUCUGGAGCAGAGAGAGAGAGAUUUAGCAGGUUGUCCCUGGCUAAGAGGCUCAUGUUGUCAGAAGGAAGCCAAGAUCAAGUACAGAGAAGGAGAAAAUGGUGACCAGUGACUCCAACCCACCAACAUGUAAGAGGAGCCAAAAGAGGACUGAGAAUCUCUGAUUACAGGCAGGUCACUCUCCUGGGAACCAAUCUUCCUCCAGGGAAGAUGCAUACCCUGUUUAACUGUUAGACCUGGAAAGUUUGAUAGUCAUAAUAAUAUGAAAACAAUCCUGUUCUUCAGGGUAAAUGAA